rnacentral:rRNA from 1 species
UGGGGAAUAUUGCACAAUGGGCGCAAGCCUGAUGCAGCCAUGCCGCGUGUAUGAAGAAGGCCUUCGGGUUGUAAAGUACUUUCAGUCGGGAGGAAGGUGGUAAGGUUAAUAACCUUGGCAAUUGACGUUACCGACAGAAGAAGCACCGGCUAACUCCGUGCCAGCAGCCGCGGUAAUACGGAGGGUGCAAGCGUUAAUCGGAAUUACUGGGCGUAAAGCGCACGCAGGCGGUUGAUUGAGUCAGAUGUGAAAUCCCCGGGCUCAACCUGGGAACUGCAUCUGAUACUGGCAAGCUUGAGUCUCGAGAGGGGGGUAGAAUUCCAGGUGUAGCGGUGAAAUGCGUAGAGAUCUGGAGGAAUACCGGUGGCGAAGGCGGCCCCCUGGACAAAGACUGACGCUCAGGUGCGAAAGCGUGGGGAGCAAACAGG